CCUACGGGAGGCAGCAGUGAGGAAUAUUGGUCAAUGGGCGCGAGCCUGAACCAGCCAAGUAGCGUGAAGGAUGACUGCCCUACGGGUUGUAAACUUCUUUUAUAAAGGAAUAAAGUGAGGCACUUGUGCCUUUUUGUAUGUAUUUUAUGAAUAAGGAUCGGCUAACUCCGUGCCAGCAGCCGCGGUAAUACGGAGGAUCCGAGCGUUAUCCGGAUUUAUUGGGUUUAAAGGGAGCGUAGAUGGGUUGUUAAGUCAGUUGUGAAAGUUUGCGGCUCAAACGUAAAAUUGCAAUUGAUACUGGCAGCAUUGGGUACCAGUAGGGGAGGCGGAAAUCGUGGGGUAGAGGUGAAAUGCUGAGA
rnacentral:rRNA from 1 species